UACAGAGGUCUCAAGCGUUGUUCGGAUUCAUUGGGCGUAAAGGGUGCGUAGGCGGCGCGGUAAGUCGGGUGUGAAAUCUCGGAGCUUAACUCCGAAACUGCAUUCGAUACUGCCGUGCUUGAGGACUGGAGAGGAGACUGGAAUUUACGGUGUAGCGGUGAAAUGCGUAGAUAUCUGCAGGAACACCCGUGGCGAAAGCGGCGCGCUGGACCACUACUGACGCUGAGGAACGAAAGCUAGGGGAGCAAACAGG
rnacentral:rRNA from 1 species